AGCACGUACGUGACCUGCCGAGAAGUGGGGGAUACCGGUCCGAAAGGGCUGCUAAUACCGCAUGUGGUCUCCGGGGGUGCCCGGGGAGUAAAGGAUGCAAGUCCGCUUCUUGAGGGGCGUGCGGCCGAUUAGCUUGUUGGUGGGGUAACGGCCUACCAAGGCGACGAUCGGUAGCUGGGCUGAGAGGCCGAGCAGCCACACUGGGACUGAGAUACGGCCCAG
rnacentral:rRNA from 1 species